GACGAACGCUGGCGGCGUGCCUAAUACAUGCAAGUCGAACGCAGUUGGGACGGGUGAGUAACACGUGGGUAACCUCCCAUCAGAGGGGAUAACACUUGGAAACAGGUGCUAAACCGAUACUGAUGGAUGGACCCUCGGUGGAUUAGCUAGUUGGUGGGGUAACGGCUCACCAAGGCCACGAUGCAUAGCCGGCCGGAGAGGGGGAUCGGCCACACUGGGACUGAGACACGGCCCAGACUCCUACGGGAGGCAGCAGUAGGGAAUCUUGGACAAUGGACGAAAGUCUGACCGAGCAACGCCGCGUGAGUGAAGAAGGUUUUCGGAUCGUAAAACUCUGUUGGUAGAGAGGCGGUAUCUAACCAGAAAGCCACGGCUAACUACGUGCCAGCAGCCGCGGUAAUAC
rnacentral:rRNA from 1 species